GGGCUUUUAGCUCAGUCCGGUAGAGCGCACCGUUCGCAACGGUGAGGCCGCGGGUUCAAUUCCCGCAGAGUCCA
rnacentral:tRNA from 1 species